CUUGCAAGUUUAUCUACCUCCCCCUAAAUUUUAAAAUAUUUUAUUGUUGUUAUUUUUAUUUUUAGCCCUUUCUCCUACGCAUAUUAUUCUCCACCCUGUUCAGUAUGGUUUCUGUUCAGGACUCAAACUGGAAUGCAGAUUUUCUUCAACCACUUUACACCCACUUCUUAGUUGAGACAGAUUGCCAGAGUCCUAUGUAAUCUUACAGAUUCUGUGGGUGUCAAAGGAUGUUGCUUCUUUAUACUGUGCUAAGGAAGCCCUUGUUUUGUGUGUCUGUGAUGUGUUUCUGGAUGACAGCAGCAAUAAUACCAUCUACUUUCUAGGCAGAAGAGAGGCAAAGAGAGGAGCAGCUGGUCUCAUUUGACAGCCAUGAGGAGUGGAACCAGAUGCAGAGCCAGGAGGAUGAGGUGGCCAUCACUGAGCAGGAUUUGGAACUUAU
rnacentral:sRNA from 1 species